UACGUAGGUCCCGAGCGUUGUCCGGAUUUAUUGGGCGUAAAGGGAGCGUAGGCGGGUUGUUAAGUCAGUUAUGAAAGUUUGCGGCUCAACCGUAAAAUUGCAGUUGAUACUGGCAUCCUUGAGUACAGUAGAGGUAGGCGGAAUUCGUGGUGUAGCGGUGAAAUGCUUAGAUAUCACGAAGAACUCCGAUUGCGAAGGCAGCCUGCUGGACUGUAACUGACGCUGAUGCUCGAAAGUGUGGGUAUCAAACAGG
rnacentral:rRNA from 1 species